rnacentral:rRNA from 1 species
UACAGAGGUCUCAACCGUUGUUCGGAUUCAUUGGGCGUAAAGGGUGCGUAGGCGGUCGCGUAAGUCAGGUGUGAAAUCCCGGGGCUCAACCCCGGAACUGCACUUGAUACUGCGUGGCUAGGGUACUGGAGAGGAGACUGGAAUUCUCGGUGUAGCGGUGAAAUGCGUAGAUAUCGAGAGGAACACCUGCGGCGAAGGCGGGUUGCUGGGCUGACACUGACGCUGAGGCGCGAAAGCCAGGGGAGCGAACGGG